GACACAAUACUAAUAUUAAUUAUUAAUACUAUAAAAGAAAAAGGCAUUGCAAGUUGUUUGCCGGCAUGUGCGCGGAGGAGCAAGCCAAGGACGAAACAAGCCGAAGAUGAGCGAACUCGAGAAUUCAGAAAUAUGAAAAAGAAGAGAAGUAAAACUGAACUCGAUAAUCUCGUUGAACUCAGGACAAAUUGAAUACUUAAUUUCUCUUCUCUCUAGAAACGUAUAGACGAAACAAUUUCUAUGACUAUUUCUGCUUCUGCUUCAGAUGCAACCUUUUAGUUUUUGCAGUUGCCACUUCAUGUCUUCAUCCCUUCUUCUAAUUCUCCGAUCUCCGAUGUUUCCCUUCCCAAGAAGACCUCAACAACCGAUCUUGGAGGCGCGCAUCACAACCAUGCUUCAUCGCCGAAGAUUUAUUUGCUACUUCUUUUUCACAAUUUCCAAUUGCGACUUGCCGGAAGUUGCAGAAGAGGCUGAAGCUCUCCUUUCACGAGCAACGCGUUUCACCAAUCCAUGACCUGUUCUUCCGGUUGCAGAGAAUCAAACAUGAUAGAUGUGGUUGUAGUCGUCCUCUUGAGUGGUUGAAAAUUGAAAUGAUGAAUAAUUUGAAUUGCAGUUUCCUUGACUUUUCGUAUUAAAAGUCAUUGCCAACUGCCAAGCAAUUUCCUAAAGUUAUGGUAUUCAAGGACAUGUGGUGCUCGAGGAAUACUUUGUAGUUUGUCCAACGGAUACGCACCUCCCUUUUUGGAAUUGCGCGUACGUUUAAAACGCUAAGAUUCUCAGAUCAGAAACGCAGACGAAUCGUUUAAUACUUCACCAGUCACACGACCCUACGUCGUUUAAUACGUUCAAAACUCCAACAGCUUCUUUUGUUACUGUCAAGUCUCUUUAAUUGACCAUUGAAUAAAGGAAAAGGACUGCCGUGUCGUUUAAUACGGGAAAACCGGAAAAAGACUGCCGUUUAAUAAUGUGAAAUUAUUUUGUCCACUUGACCAUUUAAUUUAAUAAAGAAAAACGACCAGUGGAAAGUUGACUCCA